AUUGAACGCUGGCGGCAGGCCUAACACAUGCAAGUCGAACGAGUGGCGGACGGGUGAGUAAUGUCUGGGAAAAUGCCUGAUGGAGGGGGAUAACUACUGGAAACGGUAGCUAAUACCGCAUACCAUCGGAUGUGCCCAGAUGGGAUUUGCUAGUAGGUGGGGAUAAGGCUCAACUAGGCGACGGACCCUAGCUGGGCUGAGAGGAGGACCAGCUACACGGGAACUGAGACACGGUCCAGACUCCUACGGGAUGCAGCAGUGGGGAAUAUUGAACAAUGGCCGCAAGCCUGAUGCAGCCAUGCCGCGUGUAGGAAGAAGGCCUUCGGGUUGUAAAGUACUUUCAGCGGGGAGGCGUUACCCGCAGAAGAAGCACCGGCUAACUCCGUGCCAGAAGCCGCGGUAAUAC
rnacentral:rRNA from 1 species